rnacentral:rRNA from 1 species
AGAGUUUGAUCCUGGCUCAGAACGAACGCUGGCGGCAUGCCUAACACAUGCAAGUCGAACGAGACCUUCGGGUCUAGUGGCGCACGGGUGCGUAACGCGUGGGAAUCUGCCCUUGGGUUCGGAAUAACAGUUGGAAACGACUGCUAAUACCGGAUGAUGACGUAAGUCCAAAGAUUUAUCGCCCAAGGAUGAGCCCGCGUAGGAUUAGCUAGUUGGUGAGGUAAAGGCUCACCAAGGCGACGAUCCUUAGCUGGUCUGAGAGGAUGAUCAGCCACACUGGGACUGAGACACGGCCCAGACUCCUACGGGAGGCAGCAGUGGGGAAUAUUGGACAAUGGGCGAAAGCCUGAUCCAGCAAUGCCGCGUGAGUGAUGAAGGCCUUAGGGUUGUAAAGCUCUUUUACCCGGGAUGAUAAUGACAGUACCGGGAGAAUAAGCUCCGGCUAACUACGUGCCAGCAGCCGCGGUGAUACGGAGGGAGCUAGCGUUGUUCGGAAUU